rnacentral:rRNA from 1 species
ACUACAUGAAGCCGGAAUCGCUAGUAAUCGCGGAUCAGAAUGCCGCGGUGAAUACGUUCCCGGGUCUUGUACACGCCGCCCGUCACACCAUGGGAGCUGGUAACACCCGAAGUCAGUAGUCUAACCGCAAGGAGGACGCUGCCGAAGGUGGGAUUAGCGACUGGGGUGAAGUCGUAACAAGGUACC